rnacentral:misc_RNA from 1 species
GAUGAAGAACGCAGCGAAAUGCGAUAAGUAGUGUGAAUUGCAGAAUUCAGUGAAUCAUCGAAUCUUUGAACGCACAUUGCGCCCCUUGGUAUUCCAUGGGGCAUGCCUGUUCGAGCGUCAUUUGUACCUUCAAGCUCUGCUUGGUGUUGGGUGUUUGUCUCGCCUCUGCGUGUAGACUCGCCUCAAAAUAAUUGGCAGCCGGCGUAUUGAUUUCGGAGCGCAGUACAUCUCGCGCUUUGCACUCAUAACGACGACGUCCAAAAGUACAUUUUUACACUCUUGACCUCGGAUCAGGUAGGGAUACCCGCUGAACUUAAGCAUAUCAAUAAGGGAGGA